AUAUAGUGGCAUACCACUCUGAGAGCGCCCAAUCGUGUCUGAUCUUGGAAGCUAAGCAGGGUUGGACUGGUUACAGAUGUUAAGGUCAGGGGUUCAAGCCCUAGCACCAUCAUUAA
rnacentral:rRNA from 1 species